UUUUUUUGGAUAAUCGGUGAAUUUUGAUUGGUAAUGAAUUAAUCCUAAAUAUUCAAAUAAUUGUAAAGAAUGGCGUAGUGCAUACUGGAAUAACAUUGGAAAAAUGAUAGUUGACAAGCAGAUGACAACAUCAGACAAAAAGAAACCAAAGAACUUGUAUACAUUCAUUAAAAGCAUGAAGAAUGACAACGGAUGCAUCUCUGCACUAAGAAAAAAAUGACAAAAAACUAACAGACAUUACAUCAGCAAAAGCUAACAUCAUUUAAAAACAGUCUGUUUCAAAAAGCGUUCUCCAAAGAAACAGAAAGUGAACCAAUACAAGGUAAAGGAAAAUCAUUAAAUCCAAAAAUGAAAAAAAACCAAGCUCUAUUUUAAAUUAAACAGUGUCAUAAAAUUAUAGAACAUGAUCAAUCCGAACAAAGCAACUGGUCCAGAUCAAAUCUGCGGAAAUGUACUAAAAGAGUAGUAUAGCGCUGUUCGAAAGUCAUAAAUUGAUUGAGAGAAAACAAAUGCGGAUAACAAACUAAAACCGAGGGAACACAUCAACUAUAAGAAGAAAACAACGAAACAACAGAAACACUAAAGUGCAACGAAAAACCAAACGAUCAUGUAACACACAUAAACGAACUAUAAAGAUAACAACAGCCAUUUUCCUGACUUGGUACAGGACAUUUAAGAAAAAAAUGGUGAGAUGAACCUGGUUUUGUGCCUAGCCAAACCUCACGCCUGUAUGGCAAUGUUAAAUUAUAACACUAAAAGGACAACAUUACAUGACAGUACUACAGUGCAAGAACAUUCAGGACAGAAAAAUACACAAAUAACCAAUACAAUAAUAUAUUUCGACAAGCUUAUAAUUUAAUACGCUAAACGCUUGUUUCAUCUCCACAAGACCCAUCAGCGACGCUCAGAUCAAAAUAGUAAAAAAAAAAAACGAAAAAGUAUAAAAUUCCAG
rnacentral:lncRNA from 1 species